AAAGAAGCGGCCUUUGCUACCACUGACGGAAGACAUGACGCUCUCACCCUAAAGUCCAUGUUGUCGCCGGCUGCAGAGUCCUCCGAAGCGCUGGUGACCGACACCAAGAGAGCCGUCGCCACCCACUGACAGUUCCACCGCGGCCCGUCGAUGGGCGUGGCGGCGACGUACGCGGGCCGCGUGUUCCGCGGGGUGGCGUCGUGGCGCCGCAAGCCGACGCUGGUGGGCGCUCUGGCGCUG